UGGGGAAUAUUGCACAAUGGGCGGAAGCCUGAUGCAGCGACGCCGCGUGGGGGAUGAAGGCCUUCGGGUUGUAAACUCCUUUCGACAGGGACGAAGCUUUUGUGACGGUACCUGUAUAAGAAGCACCGGCUAACUACGUGCCAGCAGCCGCGGUAAUACGUAGGGUGCGAGCGUUGUCCGGAAUUACUGGGCGUAAAGAGCUCGUAGGUGGUUUGUCGCGUCGUCUGUGAAAUUCCGGGGCUUAACUCCGGGCGUGCAGGCGAUACGGGCUGACUUGAGUGCUGUAGGGGAGACUGGAAUUCCUGGGGUAGCGGUGAAAUGCGCAGAUAUCAGGAGGAACACCGAUGGCGAAGGAAGGUCUCUGGGCAGUAACUGACGCUGAGGAGCGAAAGCAUGGGUAGCGAACAGG
rnacentral:rRNA from 1 species